rnacentral:rRNA from 1 species
GAUGAACGCUGGCGGCGUGCCUAAUACAUGCAAGUCGAGCGAACGGACUAGAAGCUUGCUUCUCUGAUGUUAGCGGCGGACGGGUGAGUAACACGUGGAUAACCUACCUAUAAGACUGGGAUAACUUCGGGAAACCGGAGCUAAUACCGGAUAAUAUUUUGAACCGCAUGGUUCAAAAGUGAAAGACGGUCUUGCUGUCACUUAUAGAUGGAUCCGCGCUGCAUUAGCUAGUUGGUAAGGUAACGGCUUACCAAGGCAACGAUGCAUAGCCGACCUGAGAGGGUGAGCGGCCACACUGGAACUGAGACACGGUCCAGACUCCUACGGGAGGCAGCAGUAGGGAAUCUUCCGCAAUGGGCGAAAGCCUGACGGAGCAACGCCGCGUGAGUGAUGAAGGUCUUCGGAUCGUAAAACUCUGUUAUUAGGGAAGAACAUAUGUGUAAGUAACUGUGCACAUCUUGACGGUACCUAAUCAGAAAGCCACGGCUAACUACGUG